GCUCAUUUAAAUACCAAAAUACUCCACUGUCACUAAUAGAAGACAAAUACUCCAUCUUUUGUUUGUGGUUUUUCUCUGCAUCUCUUCUCCCUCUCUCUCUCUCUCUCUCUCUCUCAUGCAACUCAUGUUAUUUGACAAAGCAGCUAUGUGUGAGAUUUUAAGGGUUCCCAGCAUGCGCCUACAUCACAUACUGAAAAAAUCCUUCAGCAAGCAGAAACUUUCUCUUCUGUCAAUCUAAGUGGAAGGAAAAUGACUAUCCUCAAGGUGCUUCUUAUUUUCCUAAUUGUGGAGUGUGAUACCCACCUUGAUGAAGAAAAUAUCAGAUUACACACACUAAAAAAGGGAAAGUUUGGACCAUCCACAUGAUGCCUUAAAAAGCCACAUAGUACAGGUCCAGCUUUCUGCAAGAAUCACUGAGAAGCAUCAAACUUCUUGGCUCCUAUCAUUGCUGAGGAAAAAAGUAUUUUCAGUGUUAUAUACUAUAAACAUGGAGUCUUCUCCAGAUAUUCAGGUAACUCUCUAGAAAUCCAGAAAAAUGGUAAUAUUUAAAUACAAAUCUUUUUAUUCAGUUUACUUUGGUGAUACUUGGAAUAAAUCAUACAUAUGAUAUCCAAUUCCAUAGCUGUUAUGAACUGGCAAGACUCUAGUGGAUCCAAGAAAGCUAAACAUGUUCAUGACAGUAGCGCAGUUGCCCUAAUAAGAAUAGAAAAUAACUGGAACUGAUAUUAAUUAGUGGUUUUCUUUUUAAAAAUAUGGACAGAUAGAAUUUAUCACUGAAACACUGGAGUGUAAAACAUGGUACC